rnacentral:rRNA from 1 species
AUGCACUGGAGGCGCGUCUCCCUCGAGCACAUGAAGAGGAGGCAGGGGACGAGCUACAGGAGCUCCAUGGUGGAGGUCAUGGCAGGUUGGGCGGCGCCAGAUUGGGUAGAGGAGGUGCAGGGCGCACGGAUCCAGGAGGGAGGCGCCGGAUCUGGCCGGUGGAGGUCCCGUGGCGGCGUUCGAACCUCCAAGGUGAGCUCGAGCACUGGGCAUGGGGGUCCAUGGUGCUGGCGCUGUGCUCCUAGAGAGAAGGAGGCAAGGAGAUUAGAGAGAGAGAGAGAGAGGGGGGGAGAGAAAAGGUAG